rnacentral:rRNA from 1 species
AUUGAACGCUGGCGGCAGGCCUAACACAUGCAAGUCGAGCGGAUGAAGGGAGCUUGCUCCUGGAUUCAGCGGCGGACGGGUGAGUAAUGCCUAGGAAUCUGCCUGGUAGUGGGGGAUAACGUCCGGAAACGGGCGCUAAUACCGCAUACGUCCUGAGGGAGAAAGUGGGGGAUCUUCGGACCUCACGCUAUCAGAUGAGCCUAGGUCGGAUUAACUAGUUGGUGGGGUAAAGGCCUACCAAGGCGACGAUCCGUAACUGGUCUGAGAGGAUGAUCAGUCACACUGGAACUGAGACACGGUCCAGACUCCUACGGGAGGCAGCAGUGGGGAAUAUUGGACAAUGGGCGAAAGCCUGAUCCAGCCAUGCCGCGUGUGUGAAGAAGGUCUUCGGAUUGUAAAGCACUUUAAGUUGGGAGGAAGGGCAGUAAGUUAAUACCUUGCUGUUUUGACGUUACCAACAGAAUAAGCACCGACUAACUUCGUG